AAUGCCUUUCAGCAACACCAAGACGAGUGACACGAACCUGCUGUAUGCAGCCAUGUGGUUAAAGAGCAGCAGUAAUAGCAGAGCAGAAGGUUUUUUCAGACUCCAAAUGCAACAUCAUGCCUGGCAGCGAGUGGGUCUGUGUCUCCGUCUGUCCUGCGCAGCAUCAAAGACCCCGGCAGAACCUCUGGCAAACCUGGACACAUGUCAAAGCCUGGGGCCCGGCCUGGCUUCAGCCCCACUGACCAGUCAACAGAAAGAGGGAGGGCCUGAUAUCACCAAAGCCACCGCUCACAACCUCACACAAAUGCUAGACUGCACAUGUAGUUAGUUACCUUUACCCACUGGUUCCCAAACUGGGGUGUAUGUAACAAGUAACAUUGUUGCUUCAUCCUUUCACAUCCUUUGCUGAAACCAAGUCAUCGUUAUGUUAUGUUAUCUGUUACACCUGUGCUUUUCCUGCUAUGACAAGUCAAAAUGUGUGAAAAACAUCUAUGAAUCCUAUUCAUUUGAUAAAGAAACAAAGUGCUCCCAUGCAAAAGCUGAGUCCUUACCGCAGCAGCCCCUCAGUUCCAACCUGUGACCUUUUGCUGCAUGUCAUCCCCUCUCUCUCCCCCCACUUUCCAGUAACUCUUCAGCUACUUAAAUAACGGCAAAGAAAAGCCCAAAAAAUAAUCUUGAAUAAAAGUCUACAGACAUGCGAGUGGCUCCGAAGCUCUACUUGAGUACAUCACUGCUUUGAGGUAAAUGCUCACACUAGCAUGCUAAUGUGCUCACGGCGUUAAUGCGAUGUUAAUGUUUAGCAAGUAUAUUGUUAACCGUCUUAUUUUGCAUGUUUGCAGGCUAACAUUUGCAAACUAGCAGUAAAAUACAGCUGAGGCUGAGGGGAAUGCUAUUCGUUUUGCAGGUAUUUGUUCGAAAAUCAAAGUUUGGAAUUUAAACUCAAUGGUGGCACCAGAUUAAAAGGCCAGGGGAUCAAAGUGUUUACAAUUCAUUUUGUGUCAGUCCAUCAUGUAGAUGUUGACAUAAUUAACUGAAUAGCUG
ensembl:lncRNA